CAGCAGGCGAGGGCAGCUGAAAUUCUCCAUUGAAAUACAAUUAAAGAGGUGAUUUCUCCAGCUUUCUCUACUCUUCUGCUCCUCUAGUUUCUCCCGCUUCACCUCAGCUGCACGGAAACAGCCAGAGGCGGACUCAAUGGAAGCUCCAAGCCGGGCGGAGAGGAAGACAGCCCCCUCCCAAAAACCACCGGGCAUAGAGUCACGGCGUGCCCACACACUCCCACCGAGACUAUAAAUGUAGCAGCUGAGCAGCAACAAGCUGUGCUGGCUGCAGCUAAACUACCAGUGGAAAGAAACAAGCGACUGAAUAAAGCGUUGAUGAUUCAAA